rnacentral:rRNA from 1 species
CUUGCUCCUUGGGUGACGAGUGGCGGACGGGUGAGUAAUGUCUGGGAAACUGCCCGAUGGAGGGGGAUAACUACUGGAAACGGUAGCUAAUACCGCAUAACGUCGCAAGACCAAAGAGGGGGACCUUCGGGCCUCUUGCCAUCGGAUGUGCCCAGAUGGGAUUAGCUAGUAGGUGGGGUAACGGCUCACCUAGGCGACGAUCCCUAGCUGGUCUGAGAGGAUGACCAGCCACACUGGAACUGAGACACGGUCCAGACUCCUACGGGAGGCAGCAGUGGGGAAUAUUGCACAAUGGGCGCAAGCCUGAUGCAGCCAUGCCGCGUGUAUGAAGAAGGCCUUCGGGUUGUAAAGUACUUUCAGCGAGGAGGAAGGUGUUGUGGUUAAUAACCGCAGCAAUUGACGUUACUCGCAGAAGAAGCACCGGCUAACUCCGUGCCAGCAGCCGCGGUAAUACGGAGGGUGCAAGCGUUAAUCGGAAUUACUGGGCGUAAAGCGCACGCAGGCGGUCUGUCAAGUCGGAUGUGAAAUCCCCGGGCUCAACCUGGGAACUGCAUCCGAAACUGGCAGGCUAGAGUCUUGUAGAGGGGGGUAGAAUUCCAGGUGUAGCGGUGAAAUGCGUAGAGAUCUGGAGGAAUACCGGUGGCGAAAGGCGGCCCCCUGGNCAAAGACUGACGCUC